AUGAUUUUGGAUCCGACUGAGUGGCGAACUGGUGAGUAACACGUGGGUAACCUGCCCAGAAGAAGGGGAUAACACCUGGAAACAGAUGCUAAUACCGUAUAACAACAAGAACCACAUGGUUCUUGKUUGAAAGCUGGCCUUUGUGCUAGUGCUUCUGGAUGGACCCGCGGCGUAUUAGCUAGUUGGUGAGAUAAUAGCUCACCAAGGSAAUGAUACGUAGCAGACCUGAGAGGGUAAUCUGCCACAAUGGGACUGARACACGGCCCAUACUCCUACGGGAGGCAGCAGUAGGGAAUCUUCCACAAUG
rnacentral:rRNA from 2 species